rnacentral:misc_RNA from 1 species
GAUGAAGAACGCAGCGAAAUGCGAUAAGUAGUGUGAAUUGCAGAAUUCAGUGAAUCAUCGAAUCUUUGAACGCACAUUGCGCCCCUCGGUAUUCCGUGGGGCAUGCCUGUUCGAGCGUCAUUUAACCCCUCGAGCCUAGCUUGGUAUUGGGUGCUUGUCCCGCCUCUCGCGCGGCGACUCACCUCAAAGUCAUUGGCAGCCCGCAUCUCGCCGGCCGUGAGCGCAGCACAGACGCGCUCUUGGCAACGACGGAUCGGCUCUCCAAAAGUUUAUUUCAUCCACUGACCUCGGAUCAGGUAGGGAUACCCGCUGAACUUAAGCAUAUCAAUAAGCGGAGGA